CGUUGUAGAUGCCAAUCCUCCAUGUCAAAUCCUGAACUCGUCACAUGUCAGAAGGUAAGCAUGGCCAGGCCUGGUUAGGAAUUGGGUGGGAGAUUGCUGGGAAUACCAGGUAUCACAGUGG
rnacentral:rRNA from 1 species